AACGAACGCUGGCGGCGUGGAUAAGACAUGCAAGUCGAACGAGAGAAUUGCUAGCUUGCUAAUAAUUCUCUAGUGGCGCACGGGUGAGUAACACGUGAGUAACCUGCCCCCGAGAGCGGGAUAGCCCUGGGAAACUGGGAUUAAUACCGCAUAGUAUCGAAAGAUUAAAGCAGCAAUGCGCUUGGGGAUGGGCUCGCGGCCUAUUAGUUAGUUGGUGAGGUAACGGCUCACCAAGGCGAUGACGGGUAGCCGGUCUGAGAGGAUGUCCGGCCACACUGGAACUGAGACACGGUCCAGACACCUACGGGUGGCAGCAGUCGAGAAUCAUUCACAAUGGGGGAAACCCUGAUGGUGUGACGCCGCGUGGGGGAAUGAAGGUCUUCGGAUUGUAAACCCCUGUCAUGUGGGAGCAAAUUAAAAAGAUAGUACCACAAGAGGAAGAGACGGCUAACUCUGUGCCAGCAGCCGCGGUAAUACAGAGGUCUCAAGCGUUGUUCGGAAUCACUGGGCGUAAAGCGUGCGUAGGCUGUUUCGUAAGUCGUGUGUGAAAGGCGCGGGCUCAACCCGCGGACGGCACAUGAUACUGCGAGACUAGAGUAAUGGAGGGGGAACCGGAAUUCUCGGUGUAGCAGUGAAAUGCGUAGAUAUCGAGAGGAACACUCGUGGCGAAGGCGGGUUCCUGGACAUUAACUGACGCUGAGGCACGAAGGCCAGGGGGGCGAAAGGGAUUAGAUACCCCUGUAGUCCUGGCAGUAAACGGUGCACGCUUGGUGUGCGGGGAAUCGACCCCCUGCGUGCCGGAGCUAACGCGUUAAGCGUGCCGCCUGGGGAGUACGGUCGCAAGAUUAAAACUCAAAGAAAUUGACGGGGACCCGCACAAGCGGUGGAGUAUGUGGCUUAAUUCGAUGCAACGCGAAGAACCUUACCUGGGCUUGACAUGUAAUGAACAACAUGUGAAAGCAUGCGACUCUUCGGAGGCGUUACACAGGUGCUGCAUGGCCGUCGUCAGCUCGUGUCGUGAGAUGUUUGGUUAAGUCCAGCAACGAGCGCAACCCCUGUUGCCAGUUACCAGCACGUGAAGGUGGGGACUCUGGCGAGACUGCCCAGAUCAACUGGGAGGAAGGUGGGGACGACGUCAGGUCAGUAUGGCCCUUAUGCCCAGGGCUGCACACGUACUACAAUGCCCAGUACAGAGGGGGCCGAAGCCGCGAGGCGGAGGAAAUCCUGAAAACUGGGCCCAGUUCGGGCUGUAGGCUGCAACCCGCCUACACGAAGCCGGAAUCGCUAGUAAUGGCGCAUCAGCUACGGCGCCGUGAAUACGUUCCCGGGUCU
rnacentral:rRNA from 1 species